CCCCCCUCAAGUUGGAGGGGGAAGAAUGGACACCCAAUGUUCCAAGAACGUCACGAUGGAGAGGCCCAGUGAGGGGUUUUGUAAAGAUAUCAGCUAGUUGAGCGCGAGUGGGAACAUACGAGAGAAAAAUCAAAUCCGACUGAAAUUGUUGACGAACAAAGUGGCAAUCAAGAUCAAUGUGCUUUGUUCGUUCGUGAAACACAGGGUUUUGAGUGAUGUGAAUAGCUGCUUGGCUAUCAGAGUGCAGAGGAAUCGAUAGAGAAGGGUAAAUAGAUAGAUUUUUGGGCAAACGGACCAACUAGGUCAACUCAGCACAACCCUGCCCAUCAAGCAAUAUUUAGCUUCAGCCGACGACAAAGAGAUCACAACAAGAAAAAGGCUUAUUAGCCACCAACAUUUAGCGACAGGCUACUAGCUGAGGAAUCUCACUACAAUAUCGCGAAUGUAUGUCAAAUGACAAUCAACUUCAAAUUAUUGCAACAAUGCCAUGAACUUCUAUGCUCUAUGUGUAUUAGGCUCUAACUUUUGUCCCCGUGCUUUUGGAUUUCCUCAGGAUGUGGAGACUCUAGUUUACAAGUCAAGAUGCAAGUUUGAAGACUUCGAACAAGUUGACAAAUUGGUUAUUGUUUUGCUAGAACUGUUAGACAAAAUAUUAUAUUAUUUUCUAGGGCUAUUAGCUUUUUCUGGGCAGAUGAGUUGUGUAACUAGUAUUGUGACAUAUA